rnacentral:misc_RNA from 1 species
GAUGAAGAACGUAGCGAAAUGCGAUAAGUAAUGUGAAUUGCAGAAUUCAGUGAAUCAUCGAAUCUUUGAACGCACCUUGCGCCCUUUGGCUAUUCCGAAGGGCAUGCCUGUUUGAGUAUCAUGAACACCUCAACUCUCAUGGUUUGCCAUGAUGAGCUUGGACUCUGGGGGUCUUGCUGGCCUAUGGUCAGCUCCUCUCAAAUAAAUCAGCUUGCCAGUGUUUGGUGGCAUCACAGGUGUGAUAACUAUCUACGCUUGUGGUUUUCCAUCAGGUAACCUUCAGUGAUGGAGGUUCGCUGGAGCUCAUAAAUGUCCCUCCUCAGCGAGGACAGCUUUUUGAACGUUUGAUCUCAAAUCAGGAAGGACUACCCGCUGAACUUAAGCAUAUCAAUAAGCGGAGGA